rnacentral:rRNA from 1 species
GCAUAUCAAUAAGCGGAGGAAAAGAAACCAACCGGGAUUGCCUCAGUAACGGCGAAGUGAAGCGGCAAGAGCUCAAAUUUGAAAUCUGGCCCCCUCGGGGUCCGAGUUGUAAUUUGCAGAGGAUGCUUCGGGUGCGGCCCCCGUCUAAGUGCCCUGGAACGGGCCGUCAUAGAGGGUGAGAAUCCCGUCUGGGACGGGGUGUCCGCGUCCGUGUGAAGCUCCUUCGACGAGUCGAGUUGUUUGGGAAUGCAGCUCUAAAUGGGUGGUAAAUUUCAUCUAAAGCUAAAUACUGGCCGGAGACCGAUAGCGCACAAGUAGAGUGAUCGAAAGAUGAAAAGCACUUUGAAAAGAGAGUUAAAAAGCACGUGAAAUUGUUGAAAGGGAAGCGCUUGCGACCAGACUCGCCCGCGGGGUUCAGCCGGCAUUCGUGCCGGUGUACUUCCCCGUGGGCGGGCCAGCGUCGGUUUGGGCGGCCGGUCAAAGGCCCCCGGAAUGUAGUGCCCUUCGGGGCACCUUAUAGCCGGGGGUGCAAUGCGGCCAGCCUGGACCGAGGAACGCGCUUCGGCACGGACGCUGGCAUAAUGGUUGUAAACGACCCGUCUUGAAACACGGACCAAGGAGUCUAACAUCUACGCGAGUGUUCGGGUGUCAAACCCGUGCGCGCAGUGAAAGCGAACGGAGGUGGGAGCCCCCUCGCGGGGCGCACCAUCGACCGAUCCUGAUGUCUUCGGAUGGAUUUGAGUAAGAGCGUAAAUGUGGGGACCCGAAAGAUGGUGAACUAUGCCUGAAUAGGGCGAAGCCAGAGGAAACUCUGGUGGAGGCUCGCAGCGGUUCUGACGUGCAAAUCGAUCGUCUAAUUUGGGUAUAGGGGCAAAAGACUAAUCGAACCUUCUGGUAGCUGGUUCCUGCCAAAGUUUCC